rnacentral:rRNA from 1 species
GACGAACGCUGGCGGCGUGCUUAACACAUGCAAGUCGAACGGGAGUAUUGAAGAAGCUUGCUUUAGAGAUACUUUAGUGGCGGACGGGUGAGUAGCGCGUGAGGAGCUGUCCUAUGCAGGGGGACAACAGUUGGAAACGACUGCUAAUACCCCAUAAGCCGAGAGGUAAAAGGAGCGAUCCGGCAGAGGAGGUACUCGCGUCCUAUCAGCUAGUAGGUGAGGUAACGGCUCACCUAGGCGAAGACGGGUAGCCGGCCUGAGAGGGCGAACGGCCACACUGGAACUGAGAUACGGGCCAGACUCCUACGGGAGGCAGCAGUGGGGGAUAUUGGGCGAUGGGGGCAACCCUGACCCAGCGACGCCGCGUGGGUGAAGAAAUCCCUCGGGAUGUAAAGCCCUGUUGUAUGGGAAGAGCAGAAGACGGUACCAUACGAGGAAGCCCCGGCAAACUACGUGCCAGCAGCCGCCGUAA